UAGAAAUAUCAUUCGUAUGACAUCCGUUGAUCAUUUAAAAACAGUUUUUUUCCUAAAAUAUUCAGUAUUUAUAAUUAAGAUAUGAAAAUGCACCUUAAGAUUCACUAUACAGUGCUACAUAUCAAGGUAUAAAAAUAUUAGAAAUAUGUUAAAACGAUUUUGUAUUAAAAUAAAUUCAAUAUUCUGAUUUUGACAAUCCACCAGAUAUAAAAUUUGGAAAAAAACACUUUACAUUUUAUAAUUUUUGAUAUAUAUAAUGACGGAAUGAAAAUUGAAUAAGAUGUCUACUGUAUAUACAUCAUUAAGUUUCUAUAUUAACAAUGGUACUGACAAUACAUUUUUUUACAUUUUCAGUUAAAAAUAUCUAUAAUGAAUUCAUCAUUGGACCGACAGAUGGUGUGAAUUUUUGCUUGGAAUCAUUUAAAGGCUUAAUUAACUACAUGGCUACCUUGAUUUAGUAAAUGUCUAUAAGACACCACCUCUCAAGAAAUCUGUCUAAGAACUUCAAUACUUAGUUUUUCAGAAUCACCUGGGCUGAGUGACUUUUGUUUACAUGGUUGAACAAUGGAAAAAUGUAAAUUAAAUUAUAAUAAUGAAUGAUAUAAUAAUACAUAGAAAUAUCAUUCGUAUGACAUCCGUUGAUCAUUUAAAAACAGUUUUUUUCCUAAAAUAUUCAGUAUUUAUAAUGAAGAUAUGAAAAUCCACCUUAAGAUUCACUAUACAGUGCUACAUAUCAAGUUAAAAAUAUCUGUAAGGAAUUCAUCGUUGGACCGACAGAUGGUGUGAAUGUUUGCUUGGAAUCAUUUAAAGGCUUAAUUAACUACAUGGCUACCUUGAUUUAGUAAAUGUCUAUAAGACACCACCUCUCAAGAAAUCUGUCUAAGAGCUUCAAUACUUGGUUUUUCAGAAUCACCUGGGCUGAGUGACUAUUGUCUACAUGGUUGAACGAUGGAAAAAUUUAAAAAUAUCUGUAAGGAAUUCAUCGUUGGACCGACAGAUGGUGUGAAUGUUUGCUUGGAAUCAUUUAAAGGCUUAAUUAACUACAUGGCUACCUUGAUUUAGUAAAUGUCUAUAAGACACCACCUCUCAAGAAAUCUGUCCAAGAGCUUCAAUACAUGGUUUUUCAGAAUCACCUGGGCUGAGUGACUAUUGUCUACAUGGUUGAACGAUGGAAAAAUGUAAAUUAAAUUAUAAUAAUCAAUGAUAUAUUAAUACAUAGAAAUAUCAUUCGUAUGACAUCCGUUGAUUAUUUAAAAACAGUUUUUUUCCUAAAAUAUUCAGUAUUUAUAAUUAAGAUAUGAAAAUCCACCUUAAGAUUCACUAUACAGUGCUACAUAUCAAGGUAUAAAAAUAUUAGAAAUAAGUUAAAACGAUUUUGUAUUAAAAUAAAUUCAAUAUUCUGAUUUUGACAAUCCACCAGAUAUAAAAUUUGGAAAAAAAACACUUUACAUUUUAUAAUAUUUGAUAUUUAUAAUGACGGAAUGAAAAUUGAAUAAGAUGUCUACUGUAUAUACAUUAUUAACUUUCUAUAUUAACAAUGGUACUGACAAUACAUUUUUUUUUAUUUUCAGUUAAAAAUAUCUAUAAUGAAUUCAUCAUUGGACCGACAGAUUGUGUGAAUGUUUGCUUGGAAUCAUUUAAAGGCUUAAUUAACUACAUGGCUACCUUGAUUUAGUAAAUGUCUAUAAGGCGAGAUGAAUCAAUUGUCUGAGAAACUAUUUUUUUAAAUUAAUAUCCAUAAAUUGAUUUUUUUAGUUUAAUAAUUUCAUUUUUUCCCUAAAAUUAUAUUUUUCAGAUACCACCUCUCAAGAAAUCUGUCCAAGAACUUCAAUACUUGGUUUUUCAAAAUCACCUGGGCUGAGUGACUAUUGUCUACAUGGUUGAACGAUGGAAAAAUUUAAAAAUAUCUAUAAUGAAUUCAUCGUUGGACCGACAGAUGGUGUGAAUGUUUGCUUGGAAUCAUUUAAAGGCUUAAUUAACUACAUGGCUACCUUGAUUUAGUAAAUGUCUAUAAGACACCACCUCUCAAGAAAUCUGUCCAAGAGCUUCAAUACAUUGUUUUUCAGAAUCACCUGGGCUGAGUGACUAUUGUCUACAUGGUUGAACGAUGGAAAAAUUUAAAAAUAUCUAUAAUGAAUUCAUCGUUGGACCGACAGAUGGUGUGAAUGUUUGCUUGGAAUCAUUUAAAGGCUUAAUUAACUACAUGGCUACCUUGAGCUAGUAAAUGUCUAUAAGACACCACCUCUCAAGAAAUCUGUCCAAGAGCUUCAAUACUUGGUUCUUCAGAAUCACCUGGGCUGAGUGACUAUUGUCUACAUGGUUGAACAAUGGAAAAAUUAUUUAUAAUGAAGAUAUGAAAAUCCACCUUAAGAUUCACUAUACAGUGCUACAUAUCAAGUUAAAAAUAUCUAUAAUGAAUUCAUCGUUGGACCGACAGAUGGUGUGAAUGUUUGCUUGGAAUCAUUUAAAGGCUUAAUUAACUACAUGGCUACUUUGAUUUAGUAAAUGUCUAUAAGGUGAGAUGAAUCAAUUGUCUGAGGAACUAUUUUUUAAAUUAAUAUCCAUAAAUUGAUUUUUUUAGUUUAAUAAUUUCAUUUUUUCCCUAAAAUUAUAUUUUUCAGAAACCACCUCUUAAGAAAUCUGUCCAAGAGCUUCAAUACUUGGUUUUUCAGAAUCACCUGGGCUGAGUGACUAUUGUCUACAUGGUUGAACGAUGGAAAAAUGUAAAUUAAAUUAUAAUAAUCAAUGAUAUA
rnacentral:lncRNA from 1 species